CCUACGGGAUGCAGCAGUGAGGAAUAUUGGUCAAUGGGCUUACGCCUGAACCAGCCAAGUCGCGUGAGGGAAGACUGCCCUAUGGGUUGUAAACCUCUUUUGUCAGGGAGCAACGCCGGCUACGUGUAGCCGGACUGAGAGUACCUGAAGAAAAAGCAUCGGCUAACUCCGUGACAGCAGCCGCGGUAAUACGGAGGAUGCGACCGUUAUCCGGAUUUAUUGGGUUUAAAGGGUGCGUAGGCGGAAUGCCAAGUCAGCGGUAAAAUCGCGGGGCUCAACCUCGCGCCGCCGUUGAAACUGGCGUUCUUGAGUGGGCGAGAAGUAUGCGGAAUGCGUGGUGUAGCGGUGAAAUGCAUAGAUAUCACGCAGAACUCCGAUUGCGAAGGCAGCAUACCGGCGCCCAACUGACGCUGAAGCACGAAAGCGUGGGUAUCGAACAGGAUUAGAUACCCGAGUAGUC
rnacentral:rRNA from 1 species